AAGUGCGAAACACUCGAACCAGCUGAGGGAAGCUUUUAUCUCUGUGAAGCAUUCCAAUUGUGCUUCUAGCUGCUAUUAGAGUACAAAAUCUGCAUUCUGGAAGAAACAAGAUGGACAUGAAAGAUGGAUUAAAUUACACUGAAGAGUUUUGUUGUUGGAGGCUAAUGGAAACAUUUUCACACAACAGAAAGAGGGACGGCGGAUUCAUUAUCUGAGCUGAGCAGACGUACCUGGCAGCCAUUCCGCUGAAGCACUCAGAUGUAUAAACUGGCCGGCUUUGAGCCAUCAGCAAGCCCCGGAGGAAUGUAAAAUAAAGAAGAAGCAAGGAGUUGAGGAAAAGAUGGAGGCGAUAGGGAAACAGAACUUGAAGACACAGAAAGGGCCUAUAACUCAUGCAACAUCAGUUGACCUCAGACGGCCCGCAGGCUAAAAAAGUCAGGGGUGGAGGCAGGAGGAUGGUGAUGGAUAUAUUGCUUUUCUACUGGAGGAAUACGGAAUUCACAUGACUACUGCUACUACAUUAACCAAGGUAUAAACAAGGAAGCAAAUUAGACUCCAUCGCACUAAUUGACAGGAUUAGCAUUGACAUGUAAUUUAUGGAUAUAUGAGUAGGCUGCAGUCUCUUUACCAGAUGUCAGUCAACAUUUAUUUCUCAGAAUUUCAUAUUUAUAACAAUAUUUCCCAGAUGUCAAAUUUUUGUUAUAUAAUUUUUGCAGUUUGUUUUCUGAGUAGCCUAAUUUGCAAACCAAUGGCUUUCUCAUAGACUGAACAACUUAAUUGUUUAAGAAACACAUAUUUAACAAUAUAAUUGCCUCAAUAUUUUCUUCCUAUUCCAGCAGAGUUCAGUGAAUACUUAUUUAACAACAUUUGAAAUAAAUAUAUUUAAUAUUUUGUACAUAAAGUAUACUUUUCCCUCUAACCAGGAAUAUUACUGUAAAUGUGGUAUUAUUCAAAAUGUAAACUAAUAAGCUUUACAUUUUGAAGAAAUACCCACAAAGCUCCUGGGCCUAAGGCCAGUCAUAAUUAUAUAAAUAUUUUCAGGGGGAUGUGCCUGUGGACAUCAGUAGCUCAGCUCAGCCUUUCAUACACCCACCACCAACCAUCUCAUUCCUCAUCAAAAUGGAAUGUUCUAGACACAUCACUUAUUGACCCUUUUCCUGUCAUUUGCUUAUUUGACUCAUGUGAUGUUUAGGUUGCCACUCCAUGGGUAUCAAACCUACUCAGUGUCCACUACCCACUUCAACACCCCAUGGAGCCACAUCUAAAGACAACAUUAAUUAUUACAGCCAUAACCCUCUGAGGGGAUCCUGCUGCAGUCUCACCCCAUAGUUCACACUGGGUCAGGACCUUUGCAUUUCAAGUAUGUAAUGGUCUCUGACCUUUACCAUACACAAAAAAAAUGCUGAGAUCUGGACAAUCGCAAAGUGAUGAGGAAGUGGAAUCUUCCAUUCGGCCAAUUACGGGUAGUAAUUGCCAUGUAAUGAAGUUAAUGUUUUGUAGAAUUUACAACCUGAUAUUAAUUGUGUUUCUUUUCCCUCCUCCUUUUCUCGCCCUAUGUCAUUUUCACCCGGUCCCUCUUUUGUUCGGCACAACAAAGGAAUCACAGACAAUAUGUGAAGGGUCAUUAAUUGCUUUUUACUUGUUUUUUUCCCUCUUAUUUCCUCCUCUCCCUUUUCUUUCAUCUGGACCUACACCAUGGGGUGAGAUGGCAAAAGUGUUAGACUCUCUCCAGCCCCAACCCAGCCGCCCUCUCCCACGUACCCUGCCCCCCAUCCCAAUCAUUAACAUAAAGUGCCUCACAGUCUGCAUACACUGGGCCCACCAUGGAAGAAAAUGGCUUGUUUUCAACCCCCCACCCCCAACACUUAAAUGGUCAGUCAGUUUUCUGCCUCUCUAGGAUUGCUGGUUGGACACAUGAGAACAAUGGAAGCGCAGCUAAAAGUUGAGCUGAAAGUGUGCAUGUGGAGACUUACUACCGGGAUGAACAUGGAUCAGGGCUGGAGAAGAACUCUCAGCUACAGAGCAAUACGUUACCUGAGCUGAUGCUUGUACUGUACUGGCCUGACCCUGGGAUGGCCUUCUAGCUGCCCACCUGAACUUCAGUGCAGAAAGGAAGCCGUCCGUCCCUCUCAGUCUGAAACCUCACAGCCCACAGUCAUAAGGCAGCGCUGAAAAACAGAUGGCUCAAAAAUAUUGUCAAAAAUGCCUGACUUUAAUGUUUCUCUGCUGGUCAGUUAUUUGCUACCUUGUGAGUAAAUAGAUUGGUAGUGGGGAAAGUAAAAUGAGAUCUGUGAAAUGAGUGAAUACAUUACUAAUGUUGAGCUGUGUUUGAAUCUAUUUUUGAUGAAUGAAUUGAACAAAUCUUCUUUGUGAAAGAGCCACUUAUUUGGGUACUUACUUUACAUGCUGUGGAUGCAGCUCUUUGCUGCCCCAUCCACUAAUGCCUUGAAUGAUUUAACUGACCCAUAAAAGCCAAUAAAACCCAAGUUCGCUAUCUAUGACUGCGCAACUGAACGUCAAAGGAUGGACCCAUGUCAAACAAACAAAAUGAGUUAAAACACACAUUAAAGUGAUGAACUGAAGGAUCCAAACCUGAAUGAGUAAAAUCAGCCAAACAACUUGUAAUAGCAAAAUGUCACAGAUGAGGGUAACAAUUCUAAUCUAGUAAUCUAAUGCAGUGGUUUUUAAACGGUGUGCCGCGGCACACUAGUGUGUCGUGUGGCAAGAUCAAGUGUUACAUGAAAAUUGCACUGCUUCUUAGAAAUUUUAAAUGUUUGGUUGUAGUUACUUAUUAAACUUUCUGUGAAUUAUUUUAUCUCAAUGGCCUUUAUUCAUAUUUUCAGUUUGAUUUCUGAAAUAAAUUUAGUUCCGGAUAGAUCCGGUACGUGAUAGUAUUGUAACCAAAGAACACAGUAACAACGACGAUACUAGCAUAAUAUUCAAUGUAGUUUUACCUUUUAAGGUUUUGCUUCAAUCGACAGCAAUUUUGUGCUACAAUCCAUUUCAGUAUAUCAUAAAUGAUGUGUUUGUAUGUGUGUGUGCCUGUUCCCUAUGAAAAGACUGUUGUGUUAUUGUGCUGUUAAUGAAGUUAUGUUUUGUUUUUGUUGCAGAUAUGUUAACACUGAUGCUGGUUCCAUGUUGACUUCUUCACUCUAGUCGAUUUUAAUGCAAUAUUUAAUGCAAAUGCAAAAUGUUUGACAAUCAUUUUGACAGUCUAGUGUAACUUAUGUUGGUGUGCCUUGAGGUUGUUGUUUGAUAUUUGGUGUGCCUUAUACCCAAAAAGAUUGAAAACCAUUGAUCUAAUGAAUAAAAUGCAUCUAAAGAACAAUAGUAGUCAAGUUAGUAAAUUACCAAAUUUCAGUAUCUUUUUAUGUAAACUUGCAACAAUGAUCCUUUCCAUCAGGAUUCCUGGCUAACAAUCUAACUACAGUAAGUGGGUUGAAUACCUGAAUAGAAUUAGGAGCUCGAGCAGGUAUUCCAUAUUAUUAGAGGAUAGCCAUGCCUUUGAUUUUGCAGGUAGCAAGUUAGCAUCAUUAGCGGGAUCACUGGAGGAUUUGCAACUUACAUAACUGGAUGGGAAGAAACCACCAUUGCCAAAAGCGUAUUAGCAAGGUUGACCCUUAUUGUUUGUCCCACAGAUGACGCACUCUGUAUCUUUGUAUCUCAUGUUCAAUAUUGCCCACACCUAUAUAGCACUGAUAAUUUCACUGUUCAGGGUUUCUCAAAGAGAAGACCAUAAUGAGCACAGUCUCCAGUAAAACAUUUUUAAAAUGUGGCAAUGUAUCAGUAUG